rnacentral:piRNA from 1 species
CGAACACGCCCUGGGACUCUGUGGUUC